rnacentral:rRNA from 1 species
UUUCCGUAGGUGAACCUGCGGAAGGAUCAUUGUCGAAACCUGCAAAAGUAGACAGCGAACAUGUUAAACCACUUGGGAUCGAUGCACAGGGCAACCUGGUGUGGAGUCCCCUUCUCGUGUAUGUGCGUUUUACGGGCUAACGAACCCCGGCGCGGCAUGCGCCAAGGAAUACUCAUAGAUGCGUCCGCCUUCAACGCCCUGUACUCGGUGUGCGAUGUCGGACGUCUCUUAAAGUCUAAACGACUCUCGGCAACGGAUAUCUCGGCUCUCGCAUCGAUGAAGAACGUAGCGAAAUGCGAUACUUGGUGUGAAUUGCAGAAUCCCGUGAACCAUCGAGUCUUUGAACGCAAGUUGCGCCCGAAACCACUUGGUUGAGGGCACGUCUGCCUGGGCGUCACGCAUCGCGUCGCCCCUACUCUAUCCCCGGAUAUUGGCCCCCCGUGUACAGUAGUACGUGGUCGGCCUAAAUGAGAACAUGCGGCGACUCGCGUCACGAUCAGUGGUGGUUGAACACUCAACUUCGUGUUAUCGUGUCGAUAGUAGCAUGCCAGCUUCGUAACAAAACCCAAUGGCUUGACCACUCGAGCUUUCGACCGCGACCCCAGGUCAGGCGGGAUUACCCGCUGAGUUUA